rnacentral:rRNA from 1 species
UACAGAGGGUGCAAGCGUUGUUCGGAAUUAUUGGGCGUAAAGAGCUCGUAGGCGGUUUGUCGCGUCGGCCGUGAAAACUUGGGGCUUAACCCCGAGCCUGCGGUCGAUACGGGCAGACUUGAGUUCGGCAGGGGAGACUGGAAUUCCUGGUGUAGCGGUGAAAUGCGUAGAUAUCGGGAGGAACACCUGUGGCGAAAGCGGCGCACUGGACCAUAACUGACGCUGAGGCGCGAAAGCUAGGGGAGCAAACAGG